rnacentral:rRNA from 1 species
GAUGAACGCUGGCGGCAUGCCUAAUACAUGCAAGUCGAGCGAACGCACGAGGAGCUUUCUCUUCUGACGUUAGCGGCGGACGGGUGAGUAACACGUGCAUCACCUACUUAUAUGACUGGGAUAACUUCGGGAAACCGCUUCUAAUACCGGAUCAUAUAUUGUACCGCUUGGUUCAAUAGUGAUACACGGCUUUCCCGUCACUUAUAGAUGAUUCCGCGCCGCAUUAGCUAGUUGGUAAGGUAACGGCAUACCAAGGCAACGAUGCGUAGCCGACCUGAGAGGGUGAUCGGCCACACUGGAACUGAGACACGGUCCAGACUCCUACGGGAGGCAGCAGUGGGGAAUCUUCGGCAAUGGGCGAAAGCUUGACGGAGCAACACCGCGUGAGUGAUGAAGGUCUUCGGGUGGUAAAACUCUGUUAUUAGGAAAGAAAAGAUGUGGAUGAAUCCACGCCUGUCCUGACGGUACCUAAAGAAAAAGCAACGGCUAACUACGUG